rnacentral:lncRNA from 1 species
AAAAACUUAACUAUAGCCACUGAACUAUGAAAAUGAGGUCAAGGUCAGAUGACAUCUGCCAGUUUGGAUUGAACAUCUUAUAGUCCUUCCAUACACCGAAUAUACUAGACCUAUUACUUAUAGUAUUUGAGAUAUGGACUUGACCACUAAAAUUUAAACUUGUUCACUGAUCCAUGAAAUGAGUUUGAGGUCAAGAGAAAACUGUGACAGGCAUAAGGACUUUGCAAGGUACGCACUUACCAAAUAUAGUUAACCAAUUACAUAUUAAGAGAAAUUAAUAUAACAAAAUUCCAAACUUUUUUUCAAGUAGUCACUGAACCAUGAAAAUGAGGUCAAGGAGUAUGAAGCAUCCAGGUCUUCAACCUUCUAAAAUAUAAAGCUUUUAAGUUAACUUACACAACCACAGCUUAAUCACUUUCCCUAAAUUCUAUGACAAAAGUUGCAGGCUCAACAAAAAUGACAUCAUUGAUAUUUUUAGAACAGAUAGUAGAUUCCUGCACCUUCCAAAACAGUCAGGAGUCUACUUCAUCAAAAUUAUCUCCCCAUUACGCCAGUUCAUUUUCACAAUCGUAGAAAUGGAAGCCAUUGUAGGGAUGACACGCUACCAAUAUUGCUCUUGGAAACCGAUAAAUUUAUCCACAUUGCACCAUUACGAUCCUUAUAUGCCAGUUGUAUUUUAAAAGACAAAUGUAUCAACUAGCUAAUGAGCAUCAGUUAAUAAUCUUGUCUGCAUUGAUUCAACUUAAAACUAUUGUCUGAUCGGUUGUCAGGUGGAAUUUUCGAAAACUCAUAAACAUUUAAAAAAAAUUCUAAUUAAAUACUUCGUGGAAGGGUUAAUAUAUAAAAAUGAUAGAAUCUGAAGCGAGACGAUGUAUGAAAUAUUCUUACUUUGUACGAUAUCAAGACAAAAUACUCAACUCAAACACGCCCUAACAUAAAAAGGUGCACUCGAUUUUCUCUUUUCGAUACAAUUGUUACCCAUUUUUUUGGAAUUUUUUCUUCAGUCACAUAAUGGAAGGGCAGACACGAAAAUUACUGAACUAAUAGAUUGAUAUGUUUUCCGUCCGUGGUAAUUUUUUCAUAAAAAUCGGAGGUUAUGCAUUUUCUUCAUCCAACUUGAAAGAUACCCAUGUCGUCGACUUGAUAUCUAAUUUUUCUGCUUAACUAUGUACUAGAUAAAUUGAAAACUUAUGCAAAUGGUGUUUUUAAAAUAAAACACCUCGUAAUUGAGAAAAAAAUUGCAAUUUUGUUUGUUUUCU